rnacentral:rRNA from 1 species
AACGAACGCUGGCGGCAGGCCUAACACAUGCAAGUCGAACGAACCUUUCGGGGUUAGUGGCGGACGGGUGCGUAACGCGUGGGAACGUGCCUUUAGGUUCGGAAUAACUCAGGGAAACUUGUGCUAAUACCGAAUGUGCCCUUCGGGGGAAAGAUUUAUCGCCUUUAGAGCGGCCCGCGUCUGAUUAGCUAGUUGGUUGAGGUAAUGGCUCACCAAGGCGACGAUCAGUAGCUGGUCUGAGAGGAUGAUCAGCAACAUUGGGACUGAGACACGGCCCAGACUCCUACGGGAGGCAGCAGUGGGGAAUCUUGCGCAAUGGGCGAAAGCCUGACGCAGCCAUGCCGCGUGAAUGAUGAAGGUCUUAGGAUUGUAAAAUUCUUUUACCGGGGAAGAUAAUGACGGUACCCGGAGAAGAAGCCCCGGCUAACUUCGUG